rnacentral:rRNA from 1 species
AGUGAACGCUGGCGGUAGGCCUAACACAUGCAAGUCGAACGGCAGCACAGUAAGAGCUUGCUCUUACGGGUGGCGAGUGGCGGACGAGUGAGGAAUACAUCGGAAUCUACUUUUUCGUGGGGGAUAACGUAGGGAAACUUACGCUAAUACCGCAUACGACCUACGGGUGAAAGCAGGGGAUCUUCGGACCUUGCGCGAUUGAAUGAGCCGAUGUCGGAUUAGCUAGUUGGCGGGGUAAAGGCCCACCAAGGCGACGAUCCGUAGCUGGUCUGAGAGGAUGAUCAGCCACACUGGAACGUGGACACGGUCCAGACUCCUACGGGAGGCAGCAGUGGGGAAUAUUGGACAAUGGGCGCAAGCCUGAUCCAGCCAUACCGCGUGGGUGAAGAAGGCCUUCGGGUUGUAAAGCCCUUUUGUUGGGAAAGAAAAGCAGCAGGUUAAUACCCCGCUGUUCUGACGGUACCCAAAGAAUAAGCACCGGCUAACUUCGUG